CGUCGGCAAAGUACCGCACUGGUUCUGAACUCCGACGUUGCCGAGUACUUAAACGGUUGCCUUUCAAAUUUUCUCAGGAACCAAACAGCCACUUUCCUUCUUCUCCAUCACCAAAUCACCUCUCUCUCUCUCUCCAAAGGCCCAAAGAUGAAUCCGUUAGAUCAAACCCCGGACCAGUUCUCUUCAUUCCCUCCUCUCCAGUUCAUUCCAUAUCCACCUCCACUAAACCCUAACCCUAAUCCUAAUCCUAAUCCGAAUGCUAAUUCGAGUCCUUAUAAUCCAACCCAAAUCCCAAUCCAAGACCCUAAUUCUACCUCAACAAGCCAUCUUCUCUCAUUCACUGUUCCCAAGAAGCGAAGGCGAGGUCGGCCUCAACGAAAAGCGACGUCGUUUCACCUUCCUCUCAUCCCCAACGUCACUCUCAACGGUAAUGACGGUCUUUUCCCUUCGUCUUCGUCUUCUUCUACUUCUAAUUCAGUCUCAGCUCCUUUGUUCAGACCCAAUGUGGAAAACCCUAAUUCGUCAACUCGAACUGUACCCGAUACCUCUGAUGAGAUCAUCGUGAUAAAUAAAGAAUCCACAUCCGAGGCCUUGAUUGCGCUCUCAGCUGGGUUUCCCGCCGAUUCCCUCACUGAGGAGGAAAUCGAUGCCGGGGUUGUCCCUGUAAUAGGAGGGAUCGAGCAAGUCAAUUACAUUCUUAUCAGGAACCACAUUAUCGCAAAAUGGCGUGAGAAUGUGUCAAAUUGGGUCACUAAAGAGAUGUUUCUUGAUGCUAUACCGAAACAUUGCCAUACUCUUUUGGACUCUACUUAUAAUUAUUUAGUUUCACAUGGGUAUAUCAAUUUUGGGGUUGCACCAGCGAUCAAGGAGAAGGUUCCGGUUGAACUUAGUAAGCCAAAUGUGAUUGUGAUUGGUGCCGGGCUAGCGGGGCUGGCUGCUGCACGGCAAUUGAUGAGAUUUGGGUUCAAGGUGACUGUUUUAGAGGGUAGGAAGCGAGCAGGUGGACGAGUUUAUACGAAGAAAAUGGAGGGAGGGAAUAGGGUGUGUGCCGCGGCAGAUUUAGGGGGUAGUGUUUUGACUGGUACUUUAGGGAAUCCACUUGGGAUUGUUGCUCGACAGUUGGGGUAUCCGCUUCAUAAGGUGAGAGAUAAGUGCCCACUAUAUAGUUUGGAUGGAAAGCCAGUUGACCCUGAUAUGGAUAUGAAAGUGGAAACUGCUUUUAACCGUCUUUUGGACAAGGCAAGUAGACUUAGGCAGUUAAUGGGGGAAGUCUCUGUGGAUGUAUCUCUUGGUGCAGCAUUGGAAACGUUCCGGCAGGUUUAUGGGGAUGCCGUGAAUGCCGAGGAGAUGAACUUGUUUAAUUGGCAUCUUGCAAAUUUGGAAUAUGCGAAUGCCGGUUUGCUUUCAAAGCUUUCCCUUGCAUUUUGGGACCAAGAUGAUCCAUAUGAUAUGGGAGGGGACCAUUGCUUCUUGCCUGGAGGUAAUGGAAGGCUGGUUCAGGCUUUGGCUGAGAAUGUGCCAAUUUUAUAUGAGAAAACUGUGCAUUCCAUCAGGUAUGGUAGUGAUGGUGUGCAGGUCAUUGCAGGGAGUCAGGUCUUUGAGGGUGACAUGGCCCUCUGCACAGUUCCGCUUGGGGUUUUAAAGAGUGGAUCCAUAAAGUUUAUUCCAGAGUUGCCUCAGAGAAAGCUGGAUGGGAUAAAGAGGCUGGGGUUUGGGUUGUUGAAUAAGGUUGCAAUGCUAUUUCCUCAUGUAUUUUGGGGCACGGAUCUUGAUACCUUUGGGCAUCUUUCUGAUGAUCCGAGCCGCCGAGGGGAGUUCUUUCUCUUUUAUAGCUAUGCAACAGUUGCCGGCGGUCCUCUCUUGAUUGCUCUGGUAGCGGGAGAAGCAGCUCACAAGUUUGAGAGCAUGCCCCCCACAGAUGCAGUGACCCGUGUUCUUCAAAUUCUCAAGGGUAUCUUUGAACCGCAAGGAAUCAAUGUUCCGGAGCCUAUCCAAACAGUUUGUACCAGAUGGGGUGGUGAUCCCUUCAGUCUAGGUUCUUACUCUAAUGUUGCAGUUGGCGCAUCAGGAGAUGAUUAUGAUAUUUUGGCAGAAAGUGUGGGAGAUGGAAGGCUUUUCUUUGCAGGGGAGGCCACCACUAGGCGAUACCCUGCAACUAUGCACGGAGCUUUUGUUAGUGGGUUAAGAGAAUCUUCAAACAUGGCUCACUAUGCUAAUGCUCGGACCUUGAGAAAAAAGGUUGACAGGAGCCCAUCGAAGAAUGCCCAUUCUUGUGCUUCCCUUCUUGCAGAUUUAUUUAGGGAGCCUGAUCUAGAAUUUGGGAGCUUUUCUGUUAUUUUUGCUCAGAAGAAUGCUGAUCCCAGGUCAGCAGCAAUUUUGCGGGUGGCAUUUAGUGAGCCUCGAAAGAAGAGUCAUGAAGGUUCAAAACCAGAUCAACAGCAUUCAAAUAAGUUACUUUUCCAGCAGCUUCAGUCACAUUUUAAUCAUCAGCAACAGCUUCAUGUUUACACUUUGUUAUCAAGACAACAUGCACUGGAGCUGAGAGAGGUGAGAGGAGGUGAUGAAAUGAGGUUGAAUUACCUCUGUGAAAAGUUGGGGGUGAAGCUGGUGGGAAGAAAAGGUCUGGGGUCUACUGCUGAUUCUGUGAUUGCUUCCAUCAAGGCUGAGAGGGGCAACCGCAAACCUGCUUCAACUACUUUGGCGCUCAAAUCAGGAGCAUCAAAGCUGAACACAGGCAUUUUGAAGCGAAAAAUGGUGAGAAAGGCUAAAAUAGUGCGCAGCAGCAAUGGGUCAGCAGCGCCUACUAAUUCAAAUGUAGUAACUAGUAAAGUGUCAGAGGAAACUAGGAUGUCAGAGGAAAUCAAGCCUACAGAUCAAAUGCUUCUUGACACACUUGGUUCAGGGCAAAAUCAAGGUGACAUGUUGAAACAAUGAGUAGACAGACUUGAGAGCUUUGCUGGGCCCAAGUAGUCGAAUAUGCAAUUUUGCAAAUAUCAAUUUCCAUUUUAAUGUAACCUGAUGAGGCAUUGCCUUCCGUUAGAGGAUCUGACUGAGAAGAUCUGCUCUUCACCUCUGAAUCUAUCAACAAGGGCCAAUUUGCAAUCUGUGACCAAGUUUGUUCCCAGCCUCAUAACAGCUUUACUUACUCAUGAUCUUUGGCCGGAUCACUACCGCCUUUGUCAGCUUGUUGAAGAUGACUAUGCCACUUGCAGGAGGACCACUGCGCUGUUGUUUGGCUUCUCUGCCGGUAAGGUGAUAAAUGCAAUGUCAAAGUGAACAUUGAGCAAGAGUCUGGCUUCUCUGUUGUUUGGCUUCAUGUUGCCCAGAGUCUUCAAGGCAUCUCCUCGAGAUGCCUCUGAAUUGAUUGGAGCUUGUGAGCAAGACCUCGGUGUUUGGACAGGCCGCUGGUGAAUCUCUUGAGAGCUAUGUUGCCCCAGAAAUGCCAUCUGGAUGAGAAGUGGCUGCCUAGCUGAUAUUGUAGGAUGGAUGGAUGGAUGAGUCCGGCUGAUGGCCGAGCCUUUACUAUGAGACUCGGAGUUACUUUUGACAGGUCGGAUUUAUGUUGGUGCAACUGCCUCCACUCUAGUUGUUGAGAAGUAUCAAAUAUAAAAACUAUGGUCUUGUGGCUAAUUGUCAUGUUUUGUGUGAAUGGCAAAUCAAAUCUUAUUUCCAUUUGUCAAUAUUCUCAGCUUACAGGAAGAUAAAAAAAAAAUGAUCUUUAAGAUUAUAGUGGGAUGAAA